rnacentral:lncRNA from 1 species
CUAAGGCAAUUACCCCUAUGUGAGCUUCUACACUCCAGGUAAAAUAAAAAACGCAUACGUCUUGUUUAUUUUUCUUUAACGUGUAAUAAUGAUGGUUAAUAACAAAUGUUCACUGAGGGGAAAUCAGUGAGCUGAUGUUUAUUUCAAAACUUUGCAUUUCUGCAGCAUUGGAAGCAGCCUCUACAAUUGUGGGACCAAGAAUAGGCACCUCAAACACCUGAUGAACAUGAGGUUCUAAAUUGAAAUUGCAGGUUUCUCGGUCAAGGUCAAACUGGAUCAUGGUAGUUGUUAAUAAUACAAGCUUUGUGGUGAAACAACUCUUUAGCAUGAAUGAAGUUACUUAUGGUCUUAGUUUGUUGGCCUUUAGAGGUUCUGCGUUUCGUGCUAAAGAUCUCGUCUCUUAUGUUUGUUACCUUAUCAUCGCUGUAAACUUUGCUUGGGCUUCUCCAUCAAGCUGACAAGCAACCCUGUAUUAUUCUACUCUACAUGUACUCCUGAACAUGAGCUUGCCAUGAAACACCUGAAUGGUUGAAUGCAUAUAUAUGGUUCCCCUCGUGU